UAUGAUCGAAGAUAAUUAUCUUGGUAGAUAAUGCGGUCGACAUUUAAUUGUAAGGAAUUCUAAGUCAGGUGAACAAAAGGACUUGAGUUCCUGUAUGUUGUUAUGAUCACACCACGUCUCGUUAAUCAUAAGGCAUACACCCCCGCCCUUCUUCUUACCAGAGAGAUGCUUGUUUCUGUCGGCGCGAUGCGUGAAGAAACCAGGUGGCUGUACCGACUCUGAUAGCGUGUCUCGAGUGAGCCAUGUUUCCGUGAAACAGAGAACGUUACAGUCUCUGAUGUCUCUCUGGAAGGCAACCCUUGCUCGGAUUUCGUCUACCUUGUUGUCAAGAGACUGGACAUUGGCGAGUAGCAUGCUCGGGAGCGGUGCACGAUUUGCCCGUCUACGGAGCCUGACCAGAAGACCGCUCCGUCUGCCCCUUCUGCGACACCGCUGUUUUGGGUCGCCUACUGGGAUCCGAUCCAUUGUCUUGGGUGGUGGUCCAAACAGAGGAUCCGCUUCGGGAAAGUCGUAUUCCUGGUCGUAAUGUUGGUAAGUUGACGUUGCUCUUAUAUCCAAUAGUUCCCCCCGGCUGUAUGUAAUAAGACUUAAGAUUUCCUGGGGUAAUACUGCAUAGUUUCCUAAGAAAGCGAAGUGUGGUGUCCAUCUCUGUCAGCGCCAAACACAGGAGAAAAGAUCUCCUCUGAUGCCCAGAAUCCUUCAAUUCAAAGUCCCAUUAAUCUGCAAUUGUUAUAAUGUCAAAAUACAUUUGGUACUCACCAAAAUAUGUAGUUUCACAGAGUAACUACAGUCAUUACUGCCAUUACACAGGGUAUGUACUUCCAAAAAAAGGUCUAAAUAAAAAUUAUCUAUUGUUUCUGACCAAGUGCGCUUGAGCCAAAUUUACCAUUCGUUAUCGCCAAAAGAAUCACUCAUUAUUAUUGCCAAGCACAGGUAGGCUGAUCCAGCAGCAGUACAGUAUCCCGAAUGAUCAUUGAUUUUAUUUAGCCAUUUCUUGGAAGUACACACCAUGCUUAAUGGCAGUAAUGAUGAUAGUUGCUCUGUGAAACUCUGCAAAAACAAAUUUGCAUUUUUUUGAGCAUAAAUUAGCCAUAGCUCUGUGAGUGAGUAAGAUUGAGCUUCAUAAUGAUGAAAACUUGAACAGGAUAUUUGAACAUUUUGAAAUGUUGUACAUUUUAUAUACAACUAAUGUUGCCUAACAGGGAGGACAUUUAUGAGUGAGACAUUUAAAAAAAUAUAUAUUUCACCUUUAUUUUAUUAGGCAAAUCAGUUAAGAACAAAUGAUUAUUUACAAUGACGGCCUACCCCGGCCAAACCCUAACCCAUUCCAGGCUGUAUGGGCCUCCCCAUACAGCCUGGAAUCGAACAAGGGUCUGUAGUGACACCUCUAGCACUGAGAUGCAGUGCCUUAGACCACUGUGCCACUCUGGAGCCCCUAAAAGGAGUGGAGAUGCCAGGGAUUGAACUCAGACUAACAACAUAAAACAUGGGAAAAUAGAUACAACUGAGUGUUUAUAUGUUUUCCCACCAAAGAAAUUAUGAAGCUUAUUGAAUGUCAUUGUAGGAAAGGGUUGUUUUCUUUAAAUUGAGAAUUACAACAAACUGACAUUAACAGGGUGAAAAGUGUUAUCAGUGACACACCGAAAAUCUUAAAUAAAAUACAAUAAUCAUGAAUAAAGGGUUAUUGAUAAGAGAAAAUGUAAAUAGAACUAGAAAAUAAUGAAGAUUUAAAAUGUUAUUAUAAUGGCUUAUAUUUCUCAUGGAAGUUGAUGAAUAACAUCAGGGGCCAUGGGAAAAAUGCCUACAUCCACUGAAAAUGUUUUCAAAACGCAUAAAAUAUCCCUUUAAGAUGCACAUUUUUGUGUUUUUAAGGUAAAGGACUCCUGACCUUAUAUUUAAAGUCUUUUGGAAUCCACAUUUUCACUAAGUAAGAAGUGAUAUUUCCUGGGGAUAGAAAAUUCAUAGCAUUGUCGGAAUGACCCCAGCUAACGUUAGCAACUCACCAGUAGUGAGGGGGUUUGUUGUCAGCCACAUUGAGGUAUCCUGAGUACUGUUUGAAGUUAGGCUGCUUUUGAAGCCCAGGGAGGAACUUUAUUGUAUCUGCUUCAGGUGCCCCAAUAGUCCCCGACGCUACCAACAGCAGGCACAACCCAAAUUAAACAUUUUGGGGUAAAAUUUCAUGCAAUGUUAAUAAUUUGUUAGUUGGAGCUCGUGAUGGGUUGUCACUAGUUACGACAGCCACAAAGUAAAACUAGGCUAUAUCAAUGAAAACAAAAAUGUGUUUGUUGGUCUUAAUUUAGGGUUAUGACUAAUGUUAGCGGUGUGGUUAACGAUAGGCUUAAAAUAUAUUUUAAGUAGAGAAAGUGUACAAAUAGGCGGGGUUUAGAUAUAAUUAUGGCUUUGUGGCUGUUGUAACUAGUAACGACUAGCGCGUAUCAAAUUGCGCACUGUUAGGUUCCGCACCUCAAAUUGGGAUGGUUGCUGGUUUGUUGUUUACUAUUUGUUUCUGGUGACCCAACUUUGUAUUAUUUCGCAUCUUGGUGGAUAAUUUGGCCAUUGCAGUGUAUGCGUCAGUUGAUGAAGACAAUACAAAAAGUAAACAAACAUGCUCCGCCUCAGUCGCAAAGAAAAUGCCGUUUUCCCCGUGAUCCCGAAAGAAGAUCAGAACCUCUACUUUGAAGGCGCAACUGGAAAACACACGACCGAUCGCGGCUGUGCGAGGUUCCAGAGUAUUUGAGGGUCAGGAGGGAAUGCAUCGUAAGAGCCGACUCACAUGCAGCCUUGCAUCCCACUGCGACGGCUGCCAACCAUGGCGCAACACUUGACCUUGUCAUCACAUAAUUCCAUGGUCACAUAGUUCCAUGCGGGCAAUAGACCAGUUGUACACUAUUCUCCCUAUUAUAAUUCUAUGUACACUAAUCUUCCAACAUUACCAUGGGUUGAAGAACUGAAUGUGGCAAUUUUCAGAAUUCAUCAAAUCACUUGUCUUUUUCUUUCAUCCAUAAAGGCUCUCCCAACACAUUUUCACUUGAUGCCUACAGAUCAUGAAAAGUUGUGUUACUUUCCCCAGUUUCUGUGUUGUGGUUUUUCUUGUAUGUGUAUGUUUCAGGAAAUGGCUUCCUGGAUUCCCCCAAGCAGUUGAUUGGUUGGCCCCAUUGCUAAUUGGAGCUGACCCCACCGUCUCGUCAGAGGAUACAACUGUAUCCCAUGACAGACUCCUUCUCCAGCUAGAAAAGCCAGUGUUCCUUUGCUGAGAGAGAGCUGAUGGUUAUGUUCUGUGUUUGUUGCUCAGACAGAGAGCUUAUUUGUAUGUCCUGUGUUGGUUGUUGCUGAGAAGGAGCUGAUGGUUAUGUCUUGUGUUGGUUGUUGUUCAGAGACAGGCUUUUUGUUCCCAGGGCGGGAAGGGGAAGGCACCUAGGGAGUGCUUAGGCAAGAGGUCUGCGGGCAUACAUAACCUGUAGUAUUUACUGUCUAUGCACACUAGGUAAGACCUGGGCGGACCACCCCCUGUAUUUUGGUUAGCGCACCAGGUGGUGCUAAAAUAUUAGGUAAGUAGUGGUUAGGUAGGUAAGUUAGGAGAGGGGGCUCUAACUUUUACUUUCUUUGCUUUGGUUCUGUCCAGCCCCUUUUCCCAAAAUGUACAGUGUGAAGGAAUAAAUUCUCAGUAAAUGGUCAA